rnacentral:tRNA from 1 species
GCGGAUAUGGUAUACCGGUAGUGCCUCAGCCUUCCAAGCUGAUGAAGAGUGGUUCGACUCCCCCUAUCCGCUCCA